UCCUCGUCUUUCUCCUCGUCCAAUCUGUUGCCACAAGUGUCUUCUUCUUGGAUCCAUUCACAAUCCUCUUCUUCAUUGUUGCUUCUCUCUGAAAUUGUUGCAUACACUUUCGGCUUAAGGUGGAAGAAAGACCUCUCUACUUGAACAAUUGCAAGCAUUGAGGCACCAACUGGCUCAUAAUUUCGAAAAGGAUCUCUAAGCAACACCAUUAGAGCUAAAGUGAGGUUGUUAUCCAACAAACCACGACUUCUUCCACAUGCUUCAUCCCAAUUA
rnacentral:misc_RNA from 1 species